rnacentral:rRNA from 1 species
AGUGAACGCUGGCGGUAGGCCUAACACAUGCAAGUCGAACGGCAGCACAGUAAGAGCUUGCUCUUACGGGUGGCGCGUGGCGGACGGGUGAGGAAUACAUCGGAAUCUACUUUUUCGUGGGGGAUAACGUAGGGAAACUUACGCUAAUACCGCAUACGACCUACGGGUGAAAGCAGGGGAUCUUCGGACCUUGCGCGAUUGAAUGAGCCGAUGUCGGAUUAGCUAGUUGGCGGGGUAAAGGCCCACCAAGGCGACGAUCCGUAGCUGGUCUGAGAGGAUGAUCAGCCACACUGGUACUGAGACACGGUCCAGACUCCUACGGGAGGCAGCAGUGGGGAAUAUUGGACAAUGGGCGCAAGCCUGAUCCAGCCAUACCGCGUGGGUGAAGAAGGCCUUCGGGUUGUAAAGCCCUUUUGUUGGGAAAGAAAAGCAGCAGGUUAAUACCCCGCUGUUCUGACGGUACCCAAAGAAUAAGCACCGGCUAACUUCGUG